rnacentral:misc_RNA from 1 species
CUAGAGCAAAGGAUAGACAGCGCCCGCGGAGCUCGCUCCCGGGGCUACCCUACUUUGGUAGGGUUUAGAGUCGUCGGGCCUCUCAGAGAAGCUCGGUCCUGAACUCCACCCUUGAAUAAACUACCUUUGUUGCUUUGGCGGGCCGCCUCGUGCUAGCGGCUUUGGCUGUUGAGUGCCCGCCAGAGGACCACAACUCUUGUUUUUAGUGAUGUCUGAGUACUAUAUAAUAGUUA